UAUCUAGCUGCUGCUUCUGAUUCUUGUUUGGUGUUUGCCGAUUGGAUUGGACUGCCACUACUGAUUCUUAUUUGGUGGUAGACUGGACUGCUGACAAAGAAGAUUGGAAUAGUCCCAAAGAACUACUUCUAAACAAGUCCACAACUCCAAUUUUCUAUCAACAUUUCUUUUCCUUUAACUAUGAUUGGUGUGCUAGAAAGAGAGGUUGGAGUGUUAAGGAACCCUAAUAAAAGUAGGUUUCCAAAGAUCUAACAUAUGGU
rnacentral:lncRNA from 1 species